rnacentral:rRNA from 1 species
AUUGAACGCUGGCGGCAUGCUUUACACAUGCAAGUCGAACGGUAACAGGCCUUCUGGUGCUGACGAGUGGCGAACGGGUGCGUAAUGCAUCGGAACGUGCCCAGAGGUGUGGGAUAACGCAGCGAAAGCUGUGCUAAUACCUCAUGUGAUCUGAGGAUGAAAGCGGGGGACCAGGCAGCAAUGUUUGGCCUCGCGCCUUUGGAGCGGCCGAUGUCAGAUUAGGUAGUUGGUGGGGUAAAGGCCUACCAAGCCGACGAUCUGUAGCUGGUCUGAGAGGACGAUCAGCCACACUGGGACUGAGACACGGCCCAGACUCCUACGGGAGGCAGCAGUGGGGAAUUUUGGACAAUGGGCGAAAGCCUGAUCCAGCAAUGCCGCGUGAGGGAAGAAGGCCUUCGGGUUGUAAACCGCUUUUGUACGGAACGAAAAGGCUCUGGCUAAUACCUGGAGCUGAUGACGGUACCGUAAGAAUAAGCACCGGCUAACUACGUG